rnacentral:rRNA from 1 species
AUGAACGCUGGCGGCGUGCCUAAUACAUGCAAGUCGAGCGAACGGACGAGAAGCUUGCUUCUCUGAUGUUAGCGGCGGACGGGUGAGUAACGCGUGGAUAACCUACCUAUAAGACUGGGAUAACUUCGGGAAACCGGAGCUAAUACCGGAUGAUAUUUUGAACCGCAUGGUUCAAAAGUGAAAGACGGUCUUGCUGUCACUUAUAGAUGGAUCCGCGCUGCAUUAGCUAGUUGGUAAGGUAACGGCUUACCAAGGCAACGAUGCAUAGCCGACCUGAGAGGGUGAUCGGCCACACUGGAACUGACACACGGUCCAGACUCCUACGGGAGGCAGCAGUAGGGAAUCUUCCGCAAUGGGCGAAAGCCUGACGGAGCAACGCCGCGUGAGUGAUGAAGGUCUUCGGAUCGUAAAACUCUGUUAUUAGGGAAGAACAUAUGUGUAAGUAACUGUGCACAUCUUGACGGUACCUAAUCAGAAAGCCACGGCUAACUACGUG